rnacentral:tRNA from 1 species
GCGAGUAUAGUUUAAUGGUAGAACAUUUGGUUGCCAAUCAGAUGGUGGGGGUUCGAUUCCCCCUACUCGCACCA